GUCCCUGUAGCUCAAUGGAUAGAGCUUUGGACUCUAUCCGCUAGUCGUGGAUUCGAAUCCCACCUGGGAUG